GCGUUGGUUUAGCUCAGUGGUUACUUCCGAUUGAUCGAAAAAUCACCAUCUCAUGGUCUCCGGGAAACCGGUGACCUGAGAUCGAACCACGGGCGCUGUCCAACGUUUUU
ensembl:vault_RNA Vault Vault RNA